GUGUCAGCAGCCGCGGUAAUACAGAGGGUGCAAGCGUUGUCCGGAAUCACUGGGCGUAAAGGGCGCGUAGGCGGCCUGGUAAGUCGGGGGUGAAAUUCUGCGGCUCAACCGCAGGACGGCCUUCGAGACUGCUGGGCUCGAGCACGGUAGAGGCUGGUGGAAUUCCCGGUGUAGCGGUGGAAUGCGUAGAGAUCGGGAAGAACAUCGGUGGCGAAGGCGGCCAGCUGGGCCGUUGCUGACGCUGAGGCGCGACAGCGUGGGGAGCAAACAGGAUUAGAUACCCCCGUAGUCC
rnacentral:rRNA from 1 species